rnacentral:tRNA from 1 species
GCCGUUUUGGCGGAGCAACGCACUAAGUUUAGGACUUUGAGAGGAUCUGUAAUCAGACGGUA